CGAUUUGUGCAGGGGCAGUAUUAUGGCCCGUGAGGCUGAUCCGAAACAUGAUUACUGCUAAUUGAAAACCUUUCCCAAAGAGGGAACCUUUUUUUUUUAAUUCAUGUAAAAACUCUGCAUAGGCUAGAUAAGACCCUGACUCUCAUGUU
ensembl:snRNA U4 U4 spliceosomal RNA